AACUACAUUUCUAUCCUUUCCAGUAUGUUAUUGAAAACAACAGCAUACUGGCACCAUACUUAUUUGGAUUAUUGUUUCUCAGUUGUUUGUAAAUGUUGCAGUUUAUAAAUAAAGUUUUAUUUAAAAAAAAAAAAAAGUUUUUAUUUUUUUUAAAGCCUCUGCGCAUGCGCAUAGCACAGAUCCAACGAAUCGAUGACUAAAUUAAUCGGCAACUAUUUUUAUAAUCGAUUUUAAUCGAUUUAAUCGAUUAGUUGUUGCAGCCCUAAUGUAUGUAUAUAUAUAUAUAUUUAUAUAUAUAUGUAUAUGUAUAUGUAUAUGUAUGUAUGUGUACAUGAGAGAGAGAGAGAGAUCAGAAGGCAUAAGAAGAAGUAUCUGCAUUUGAUUGUUUACAUUUGAUUAUUAGCAAUCCGGAGAGGGUGUUAGUUUAGGGUUGUAGCUGCCUGGAGGUGAACUUUUAUUGCGGUUUUGAAGGAGGAUAGAGAUGCCCUUUCUUUUAUACCUGUUGGGAGUGCAUUCCACAUUGAUGUGGCAUAGAAAGAGAAUGAGUUAAGACCUUUGUUAGUUUGGAAUCUGGGUUUAACGUGGUUAGUGGAGCUCCCCCUGGUGUUGUGGUUAUGGCGGUCAUUUACGUUAAGGAAGUAGUUUGACAUGUACUUCGGUAUCAGGGAGGUGUAGCGGAUUUUAUAGACUAGGCUCAGUGCAAGUUGUUUUACUCUGUCCUCCACCCUGAGCCAGCCCACUUUGGAGAAGUGGGUAGGAGUGAGGUGGGAUCUGGGGUGGAGGUCUAGAAGUAAUCUGACUAGCUUGUUCUGGGAUGUUUGGAGUCUAGAUUUGAGGGUUUAGGAGGUGCUAGGGUACCAGGAGGCGACCCGUGAACUUACCACGCCUCUCUGUGUUUAUACCAUGGGUUUCAAAAGUAAGGCCAGGUUUUAUCCGGCCCGCGGGAUGAGUUUGCUAAGUAUAAAAAUGAGCCAACAUUUUUUAAUGAAAGAAACUGCUGUUCUAAAUGUGUCCACUAGAUGGCGCAACAGCAAUUCUGUGUAUCUUUGUAGAUUACGCUACAUAUGUACAAAAAAACACGUUAGUGCACCAGUCGAGGAAAAUGAGCAAACUACAUAAAUGACAUCCUGUAAUUUGAUUUGGAUAUCAUUUUUUUAUCUUGAUAGAUUGAAAAUGAACAACAAUGAGUUGACUAAUGAACAUUAUCACAUCAUUUAUUUAGAAAGUAUAAAUAAGGACACAUAAAGAUAGAAUACUAUUAACCGCAACAUGCAAGUGUACAAAAAACAACAAUGUAAAAUGAGUUUGACACCCCUGGUUUAUACGGAAUGCCUUUUUGCAGUCCCAUUUGAUUUAUUGCUGCAUUGAAGUUUUGGCAAGGCUGAACAAAGUGGACCUAAACAGCAUGUAGAUACUAUUUGAAAGGCCAGGAGUGAUAUUUGGUGGAGUAAUGCCAACUUGAAGAACUAAGUCCUUUAUACAUGAUUUGAAAUGUCAUCUUAAACAUUUUCAAAUUCCUGCCACUAAUUAGUGCCCAAUUUAACAUUCAUAUAUUAUUUUUGUUGGAGUUUGUUUGGGUUUGAAACAACUGAAGCUGUUUUAGUAGUUUUUGUACUUUUUAACAACAUAUUAGAAACAGCUUUUAAUGACAGUUUUGCUGUUUAGGUCUCAAGCCAAGAUGGCAAGCUUCUCCUCUUCUUGAUGGUCCUAUCAGGCUCAAUUUGGACGAAGAUGGACAAAGAUGGCCAGGCUGGGGAGGAGUCGCACCGUCCUUCAAGUCAAAAGCUACGCCAGGCAAUAUUUGAAACACAAGGCUAAAUUAGCAGCCGGUGUUGGGGCUCCCUCGUCGUCCUUUCAGCCUGCUCAGCUGUACUGCCGCCUUGGCAAACACAUUGAGAGACUGCUUGGAGACGAGGAUGAGGAUGAGGAGGUGGACAUCAGCGAGGAAGUGACUGAGUGUCAGGUCCGCCACCAGCAGCUCCUCCGUGUCACCUCCCAGAGGAGCUGGAAGAUGAUGAGGUGGACAAAGCAGACUGCAAGCGAGUGGAGGUCUGGAGGGGAAAGAGCAAGAGGAGGUCAAAGGUGAUGAAGGGGAGAAUGAUGAUGAUGAGGAGGAGAUCAUCAGCGAGGACGAAAAACAAGCCAUUCCUGAGUUCUUUGAGGGACGUCCUUCCAAGAAGAUAUCUGAAGAUCAGAAAGUCCAUUUUGGAUAAGUGGUCCACUUUUGCAAUGUAUUUGAAAGUGGCCACAUGCAUGCUUUAACAUCCUUGUUGUGUCGCAGGCUGAAGAUGAAGUACUUGAACAAGACGUCACUUCUAAACAACUGUCAACUGCAUUGGGAGGAUACACACCUACCUACAACUCAUCUUUCCUUUUCAUUUUCUCCUUCUCUACCUGGAUUUUGCUGAGGUAUAUAAUGUACAGUGUAUUUUGGCAACAACUGUAUGUGUGUAACCUAUUUCUUGUGCUGAGCAAUCAUAAAACUGUUGCGAAGACGCACUGGUUGAGGCUCGCAGUAAUCCCGCCUCCUGGUGCCGGUUAAUGCACCCCCGCCGCAGAAUGCCAUCCCCGACGGGAGCGCCACACCAACCAAAGCCCACACCCAAACCUCCACGUGCAAGACCGAAUCCACCCAAAAAAAGUCACCCAACAAGAAGCCAAAAAGUGCAAAAACAACAAUGCUCGCGCCGGAGGAGCCGUGAAUGACUGCAGGGCCACAACAUUAGGUACACCUGCAGACUGCAGCACGGAUUUCAUAUUUCAUUCAUUCACAACUCUUCCAACACGAACACCACUGUUCCCGCACUUAUAAGUAAAGGUAAGAACACGUGGCGGCGUACGGUGACAGCUGAGCUGAAGGAGAUGAACCUAACCUGGGGCGAGGCACAGCAUGUUGCUCAGGACAGGUCCAGAUGGAGGCAGAUCGUCGAAGCCUUAUGUCCCGCCAGGGACGAAGAGGAUUAAGUAAGUAAGACACAUAAUAACGUUUUUUUUUCAGCACUUUGGUAUUUUACUAUCGUAUUGUAUUCAUCCUCCUAUGUUACCAUGUUAAUGUGACACUAUGUGCACCUUAUGUCUUAUGUCUGUACAGCACUUUGGUAUUUGACUAUUGUAUUGUAUUCAUCCUCCUAUGUUACCAUGUUAAUGUGACACUAUGUGCACCUUAUGUCUUAUGUCUGUACAGCACUUUGGUAUUUUACUAUUGUAUUGUAUUCAUCCUCCUAUGUUACCAUGUUAAUGUGACACUAUGUGCACCUUAUGUCUUAUGUCUGUACAGCACUUUGGUAUUUUACUAUUGUAUUGUAUUCAUCCUCCUAUGUUACCAUGUUAAUGUGACACUAUGUGCACCUUAUGUCUUAUGUCUGUACAGCACUUUGGUAUUUUACUAUUGUAUUGUAUUCAUCCUCCUAUGUUACCAUGUUAAUGUGACACUAUGUGCACCUUAUGUCUUAUGUCUGUACAGCACUUUGGUAUUUUAGUAUUGUAUUGUAUUCAUCCUCCUAUGUUACCAUGUUAAUGUGACACUAUGUGCACCUUAUGUCUUAUGUCUGUACAGCACUUUGGUAUUUUACUAUUGUAUUGUAUUCAUCCUCCUAUGUUACCAUGUUAAUGUGACACUAUGUGCACCUUAUGUCUUAUGUCUGUACAGCACUUUGGUAUUUUACUAUUGUAUUGUAUUCAUCCUCCUAUGUUACCAUGUUAAUGUGACACUAUGUGCACCUUAUGUCUUAUGUCUGUACAGCACUUUGGUAUUUUACUAUUGUAUUGUAUUCAUCCUCCUAUGUUACCAUGUUAAUGUGACACUAUGUGCACCUUAUGUCUUAUGUCUGUACAGCACUUUGGCCAACUGAGGUUGUUUUAAAUGUGACAUAUAAAUAAAUGAAGUGAACACAUCAUUUAGUUUUUCCACUGGGGGGGACCAGACAAGCUCUGCUUCUUCCACUCAUGUUGGACGCUUGAUCACUUGAGCAAAAGUUGUGCUUGUAAAGUUUUGACAUGUUCCAAAUAAAUACAUUGAAAGUGAACAUUAAUAAUAAGUAAUUUUUGGUUGUAUGCCAACUUUGCGGAGCAGCUCUUCACAGCAUCACCUCGCUAGUUAGCUUAACGUUAGCAUCUUCCAUGCUACAUCAUAACGAUGUUGAAUAAAUGUGUUUGUGUGCCUUACAGACGGACUUGUUAUUGGCUAACAUAUAUACACAUCAUUUGUGCUAAAUGUUUUGACUUUAUUAACCUCCAGUCUUCACACAGUGAGCGUAGAAAUUAGUUUAACAUUGGGGGGACAUCAAUUUAUAUCCCAAAAUAAUGU